AUUGAACGCUGGCGGCAUGCUUUACACAUGCCAGUCGAACGGUAACAGGCCUUCGGGUGCUGACGAGUGGCGAACGGGUGAGUAAUGCAUCGGAACGUGCCCAGAGGUGGGGGAUAACGCAGCGAAAGCUGUGCUAAUACCGCAUGUGAUCUGAGGAUGAAAGCGGGGGACCAAGCAGCAAUGUUUGGCCUCGCGCCUCUGGAGCGGCCGAUGUCAGAUUAGGUAGUUGGUGGGGUAAAGGCCUACCAAGCCGACGAUCUGUAGCUGGUCUGAGAGGACGACCAGCCACACUGGGACUGAGACACGGCCCAGACUCCUACGGGAGGCAGCAGUGGGGAAUUUUGGACAAUGGGCGCAAGCCUGAUCCAGCAAUGCCGCGUGCGGGAAGAAGGCCUUCGGGUUGUAAACCGCUUUUGUACGGAACGAAGAGGCUCUGGCUAAUACCUGGGGCUGAUGACGGUACCGUAAGAAUAAGCACCGGCUAACUACGUG
rnacentral:rRNA from 1 species